GUGAGGAAUUUUGCGCAAUGGCCGCAAGGCUGACGCAGCAACGCCGCGUGGGUGAAGAAGGCCUUCGGGUCGUAAAGCCCUGUCAGGUGGGAAGAAAGGUUUCGUCAAGAAACGGAUGGAAUUUGACGGUACCACCAGAGGAAGCACCGGCUAACUCCGUGCCAGCAGCCGCGGUAAUACGGAGGGUGCGAGCGUUAUUCGGAAUUAUUGGGCGUAAAGCGCGAGUAGGCGGGGAUGCAAGUCUGAUGUGAAAGCCCUGGGCUUAACCUGGGAAGUGCAUUGGAAACUGCAUUUCUUGAGUACUGGAGAGGAAGGGGGAAUUCCCGGUGUAGAGGUGAAAUUCGUAGAGAUCGGGAGGAAUACCAGUGGCGUAGGCGCCUUUCUGGACGGUUACUGACGCUGAGACGCGAAAGCGUGGGGAGCAAACAGGAUUAGAAACCCUGGUAGUCC
rnacentral:rRNA from 1 species